rnacentral:rRNA from 1 species
CGCCCUACUCCUACGGGAGGCAGCAGUGGGGAAUAUUGCACAAUGGGCGCAAGCCUGAUGGCAGCGACGCCGCGUGAGGGAUGACGGCCUUCGGGUUGUAAACCUCUUUCAGUAGGGAAGAAGCCCCUUUUGGGGGUGACGGUACUUGCAGAAGAAGCGCCGGCUAACUACGUGCCAGCAGCCGCGGUAAUACGUAGGGCGCAAGCGUUAUCCGGAAUUAUUGGGCGUAAAGAGCUCGUAGGCGGUUUGUCGCGUCUGCUGUGAAAGACCGGGGCUCAACUCCGGUUCUGCAGUGGGUACGGGCAGACUAGAGUGCAGUAGGGGAGACUGGAAUUCCUGGUGUAGCGGUGAAAUGCGCAGAUAUCAGGAGGAACACCGAUGGCGAAGGCAGGUCUCUGGGCUGUAACUGACGCUGAGGAGCGAAAGCAUGGGGAGCGAACAGGAUUAGAUACCCUGGUAGUCCAUGCCGUAAACGUUGGGCACUAGGUGUGGGGGACAUUCCACGUUUUCCGCGCCGUAGCUAACGCAUUAAGUGCCCCGCCUGGGGAGUACGGCCGCAAGGCUAAAACUCAAAGGAAUUGACGGGGGCCCGCACAAGCGGCGGAGCAUGCGGAUUAAUUCGAUGCAACGCGAAGAACCUUACCAAGGCUUGACAUGGACCGGAAAGACCUGAAACAGGUCCCCCG